GGAGUUUGCUCAUUCAGCUGAACUUUGUGGCCCAAUCCCAAAGUCCGGACUCACAGACUCACGAACUUUGGUGGGCGUUCUCGCAAAAUU